UACGAAGGGGGCUAGCGUUGCUCGGAAUCACUGGGCAUAAAGGGUGCGUAGGCGGGUUUUUAAGUCGGGGGUGAAAUCCUGGAGCUCAACUCCAGAACUGCCUUCGAUACUGGCGAUCUUGAGUCCGGAAGAGGUGAGUGGAACUCCUAGUGUAGAGGUGGAAUUCGUAGAUAUUAGGAAGAACACCAGUGGCGAAGGCGGCUCACUGGUCCGGUACUGACGCUGAGGUGCGAAAGCGUGGGGAGCAAACAGG
rnacentral:rRNA from 1 species